AACGAACGCUGGCGGCAUGCCUAACACAUGCAAGUCGAACGAUUGCCUUCGGGUGAUAGUGGCGCACGGGUGCGUAACGCGUGGGAAUCUGCCCUUAGGUUCGGAAUAACAGCUGGAAACGGCUGCUAAUACCGGAUGAUAUCGCGAGAUCAAAGAUUUAUCGCCUGAGGAUGAGCCCGCGUUUGAUUAGGUAGUUGGUGGGGUAAAGGCCUACCAAGCCGACGAUCCAUAGCUGGUCUGAGAGGAUGAUCAGCCACACUGGGACUGAGACACGGCCCAGACUCCUACGGGAGGCAGCAGUGGGGAAUAUUGGACAAUGGGCGCAAGCCUGAUCCAGCAAUGCCGCGUGAGUGAUGAAGGCCCUAGGGUUGUAAAGCUCUUUUACCCGGGAAGAUAAUGACUGUACCGGGAGAAUAAGCCCCGGCUAACUCCGUG
rnacentral:rRNA from 1 species